rnacentral:tRNA from 1 species
GGAAGGGUGCUCGAGUGGCUUAAGAGGCACGCUUGGAAAGCGUGUGUGCGCCAAAAGUGUACCGCGGGUUCGAAUCCCGCCCCUUCCG